rnacentral:rRNA from 1 species
AUGAUGCAAGAACUUGUUAAGCAACACCUACUUCGAGCUCAGCACCAUAUGAAGCAACAAGAAGAUAAACAUUGUUCGGAUCAGGUGUUUCUGGUGGGAGAUUUUGUUUAUCUCAAGCUUCAACCAUAUGCACAAAUGUAUGUUGCUCGUCGCGCAAAUUACAAGUUGUCCUUCAAAUUUUAUGGUCACUAUGAGGUGCUUGCUCGCGUGGGAAAGUCGGCCUACAAAUUGAAGCUUCCGACAAAUAGUCGUAUUCAUCCACUGGUGCACGUUUCCCAGCUGAAGCCCUCUCUACCAGCAAAUCAAGUGCUUUCUGGUGCUUCUUCUUUGCAUCUGCUUACAGAUGUUCCAGUUUCUAUUCAGCCGGGGUAG